UUCCCGUGCAUGUCCGGGUUAUGACAUGAACCUCCCUGUUGGACUGGCCCGGGCUUCGGCUCGGGCCUUUUU
rfam:Shimia marina strain CECT 7688 genome assembly, contig: 0006